AGGGCUGGGGAGGUCCUGAAUACCGAGCUCUGAAGUGUGAGGAUGAUUUGGACAGAAGGAGGGACAUCCUUGGUGGGAUGGGUUCCAGGACCCUCGUGGAUACCAAACUUCACAGAUGCUCAAGUCCCUGUAGUCUCCCCCCACCACCCCCGUAUCCAGGGGUGAGGAACCCGUGGACGCGAAGGACUGACUGUAUUGUCACAUAUAGAAGCGUUUGCUCAUCGCCUUCCUUUUACAGAGAGGAAAGAGACUUGGACUGGUUAAGACUCGCAAGGUAACACGGCUGCUUUCAGAUAUCUUACGAUGAGCCUUUAUUAAUUUUUAUAAUAUAAAAAAACAAUAGAAGUUACAGAAAUAACAUGAGAUCCAGUGACCUGAGCGGACCAGGUUCUUGCCCUGUUUUGGAAGUUUUUCUCUGUGAUCAGGGCUGGCGUGGAUUCCCUGGAAGCUUGUCGGAAGAUUGAAAGAAACAUUUUGGAACAAAGAGGCAGAAGUGGGGAUGUGACGGAGACAGCGCCAAGCACAGUGGGUAGCCUGCCCGGGGUUUGCUCUCUGCCCUGAAAUCCAUUAGCUUCUCGGAAGCCACAGACACGGUAACAGCCUGUGUGUUUAGUCACUGCCAAAGGCACAGCCAGACUGGAACAGGCUGCCCUCUCGCCUGGCCGUUGUCACCAGGAAGCCAGGAAGAGGUGUCUUCAAACAAAGAAGCAGCCCUGCCUCCACGCUGCUGCCAGGAUGCGGGGCUGGACGCGCCAGGGGUGAUGCAGCAAACAUUUGGCAGAGGUAGUGGGACCCGGGCGGGGGGCGACUCCCAGGACACAGCUGUUCCCAGGCCGGGCCGCCUUACAGGGUGUCUCACCCGUGCCACCGUGCGUGUUGGGGAAUGGGGCACACGAAUGGAAUAUUUGCAACUUCUGUAACUCAUGAAGUAUGGCGAUGGAGCUGGCUGUUUAACAGAAAUAAUGCUUUUAUUCAACAAAUGCCUUUUGAAUGUAACGUGCCUGGUCUUGACCUAGGUGCUGGGCAUU